rnacentral:rRNA from 1 species
UAGAGUUUGAUCCUGGCUCAGGAUGAACGCUAGCUAUAGGCUUAACACAUGCAAGUCGAGGGGCAGCGAAUAGAUAGCUUGCUAUUUAUGUCGGCGACCGGCGCACGGGUGAGUAACGCGUAUCCAACCUGCCCAUAACUACGGGAUAACCCGUUGAAAGACGGCCUAAUACCGUAUGACAUCGUUUGCUGACAUCAAAUAACGAUUAAAGGUUUAGCGGUUAUGGAUGGGGAUGCGUCUGAUUAGCUUGUUGGCGGGGUAACGGCCCACCAAGGCGACGAUCAGUAGGGGUUCUGAGAGGAAGGUCCCCCACAUUGGAACUGAGACACGGUCCAAACUCCUACGGGAGGCAGCAGUGAGGAAUAUUGGUCAAUGGGCGAGAGCCUGAACCAGCCAAGUAGCGUGCAGGAAGACGGCCCUAUGGGUUGUAAACUGCUUUUAUGUGGGGAUAAAGUGCGUGACGUGUCAUGCAUUGCAGGUACCACAUGAAUAAGGACCGGCUAAUUCCGUGCCAGCCGCCGCGGUAAAAGGG